GUCACCAUAGCAACCCGCUAACUCAUCACCUCGCCUCAAUUCGCACAGGGCCGCGGCGUGACCAAGCCAGCAGCUCCAGGCAGGCACCGGGGCAGGCCUACAUCUGGCAUGUAAAACCCCAGGCCACCGCGCAGCCCCCCUCGCAGACCCGCCUGGUCUGAAAAUCAGCUCUUCCUCUAACCGUUUCCUUUCCGACCCGAGCUCCGACUGCAGCUGUGUACACAAAAGAACGACUCAUGCAACGGGGUGUGGAAGACCCUUUAACUCCUUCAAUACCAAGUUCUUAUGCCUUGAACAUUAAACUUGGUCAGGAUUCAGAAAAAUCUAAAAGGACCUGGCGGCCAGCUCUAGAACAGGUAUAUCUAAAAUUAAGUAUGUACAGAUUCCUGUCCAACAUCUCCAACUACCUGUAGAAAAGUGGCUCCUCUCACCACACAUCACAAUUAAAGUAGGGGCCUAGCUGUGAGGCAAACCUGGAUCCUGAGCUUGACUUCACCACCUGCUGGCUCCGUGACCUUGGUUUUUUUAUUUAAAGAUAUGAGGUGGUGAUAAUUAAUCAAUGGCUUGAAGGAGGUGAGCCAUUCAAGGGACACAGCCAUGUAGAUAUCAAGAAGAGACAACAGCAAGCACAAAGGCCCUAAGGUGGGAGCAUGACUUGUUCAAGGAACAAUAAAGAAGCCAGGUGUAUCUGCAGCAGACACUUGAGAAGACUUCCUGAAGUUUGGACACAGUGUCCUGGAGCAGAGCCAGUAUGCUUCACAGCAGUUAUGAAACAGCUGCAAACCCAUGCUGAUGUCAUGCAUUGUACAAACACUCUAAAGGACACGAGAUACGGCUCUGCAGUACUAAUCAAGUAUCUUGUUCGACAAAGUUGCAAGCCACAGGUCCCUUCAGAUUAGAAGCAGGAACUGCGUCCGAACUCAGUCGAGACUGACCGGACUGCACGCUUCACCUCGGCUGGGACUGAACCUCCGCCUCGCAGCGCGGCCCCAGGGCAGAUACUAUGCUAAUCAAGAAAGUUCUUCCGUCUCUUCGCGCGCGGGCUGACGCGGGCUUAACACUUAACCCUUGAUUUUAGAUUGACUCCACUAAAGUGCUUUCCACGACCUCUUCUUGCCUAGCUGAUCUGGACCACUUUCUUUUUUUCUUUCUUUUCUUCUUUUUGGAAAAGGAGGGGACGCGAGCGAGUGAUAGAGAUCCACAGGGAGGGUCUCAGUGUUAGCUGGUGACGGGGUGAAGAGACGGCUAAUGUUCGUAAUAUUAAUUACUCCAAGCGCUACUGACCUGGCGAAGACGAGCAGAAGGGGACUGGGGGUAAAGACAAAGGCUCCUACUGGCCCAAUGGCUGCAGCGCCCCUUCUCCGAGGUUACAGCUUUGCCUGGCACGGGACUAGAGAAGUGACUCGUGGUGCCCAAACCACGAGUCCUGUCGGGGUCUGAGAGUCUGCAUUACCUAGUGCUCCAGGUUCAGAAGGGAGGUCUUGCGGUGCCCACCCCUCCUUUCGGC